UCUAGUACUGGUUUUUAUAAAUCGGGGUAUUAUUUUUUGGGUACACUUGCAAAAUGUAUCAAUUCAGGAAGAAAUUCAGACGCUCAAAUGACUUCUUUUACAAUAACGUGGAGAGGAAAGGAAACACACAAAAGAUGAUGCGAAUAACAGUGUGUCAUAUGAAUCUCAAUUUUUUGAACAAGAAAAUGAAUUUGGGAUUUGAAUGAACAAAGUGAAGAUAUUGCUGAAAAUUAUGACAAGCACCAAGAGUUAACCACCAAAACACAGGAUUCUGAAGAUAUUUUUAUCAAGCAAUCUAUCUCUAUUAUUACAGAGGAAUCUAAACAACCAUGUCAACAUAGUCAAGUAGUUCUCACUUAUACAGUUAUACUUUAUACUGUUUACCACUAGUCAUGUUUUUAAUGUGUUAUAAAUUGACAAUAUGCUUGUUGAUUGCUUAUG